ACAGGCUUAACACAUGCAAGUCGAGGGGCAGCAUGGUCUUAGCUUGCUAAGGCCGAUGGCGACCGGCGCACGGGUGAGUAACGCGUAUCCAACCUGCCUUACACUCUUGGACAGCCUUCUGAAAGGGAGAUUAAUACAAGAUGUUAUCAUGAGUAAGCAUUUUCGCAUGAUUAAAGGUUUACCGGUGUAAGAUGGGGAUGCGUUCCAUUAGAUAGUAGGCGGGGUAACGGCCCACCUAGUCUUCGAUGGAUAGGGGUUCUGAGAGGAAGGUCCCCCACAUUGGAACUGAGACACGGUCCAAACUCCUACGGGAGGCAGCAGUGAGGAAUAUUGGUCAAUGGACGAGAGUCUGAACCAGCCAAGUAGCGUGAAGGAUGAAGGUUCUAUGGAUUGUAAACUUCUUUUAUACGGGAAUAAACGGAUCCACGUGUGGAUUUUUGCAUGUACCGUAUGAAUAAGGAUCGGCUAACUCCGUGCCAGCAGCCGCGGUAAUACGGAGGAUCCGAGCGUUAUCCGGAUUUAUUGGGUUUAAAGGGAGCGUAGAUGGGUUGUUAAGUCAGUUGUGAAAGUUUGCGGCUCAACCGUAAAAUUGCAAUUGAUACUGGCAGUCUUGAGUACAGUUGAGGUAGGCGGAAUUCGUGGUGUAGCGGUGAAAUGCUUAGAUAUCACGAAGAACUCCGAUUGCGAAGGCAGCUUACUAACCUGUAACUGACAUUGAUGCUCGAAAGUGUGGGUAUCAAACAGGAUUAGAUACCCUGGUAGUCCACACGGUAAACGAUGAAUACUCGCUGUAGGCGAUAUACAGUCUGCGGCCAAGCGAAAGCAUUAAGUAUUCCACCUGGGGAGUACGCCGGCAACGGUGAAACUCAAAGGAAUUGACGGGGGCCCGCACAAGCGGAGGAACAUGUGGUUUAAUUCGAUGAUACGCGAGGAACCUUACCCGGGCUUAAAUUGCAACCGAAUAUGGCGGAAACGCUAUAGCUAGCAAUAGCGGUUGUGAAGGUGCUGCAUGGUUGUCGUCAGCUCGUGCCGUGAGGUGUCGGCUUAAGUGCCAUAACGAGCGCAACCCUUGCCGAUAGUUACUAACAGGUCAUGCUGAGGACUCUGUCGGGACUGCCAUCGUAAGAUGUGAGGAAGGUGGGGAUGACGUCAAAUCAGCACGGCCCUUACGUCCGGGGCUACACACGUGUUACAAUGGGGGGUACAGAGGGCUGCUACCACGCAAGUGGAUGCCAAUCCCAAAAACCUCUCUCAGUUCGGAUUGAAGUCUGCAACCCGACUUCAUGAAGCUGGAUUCGCUAGUAAUCGCGCAUCAGCCACGGCGCGGUGAAUACGUUCCCGGGCCUUGUACACACCGCCCGUCAAGCCAUGGGAGCCGGGGGUACCUGAAGUGCGUAACCGCAAGGAGCGCCCUAGGGUAAAACUGGUGACUGGGGCUAAAUCG
rnacentral:rRNA from 1 species